rnacentral:rRNA from 1 species
UGGGGAAUAUUGCACAAUGGGCGAAAGCCUGAUGCAGCGACGCCGCGUGAGGGAAGACGGUUUUCGGAUUGUAAACCUCUGUCUUUAGUGAAGAUAAUGACGGUAACUAAAGAGGAAGCCACGGCUAACUACGUGCCAGCAGCCGCGGUAAUACGUAGGUGGCAAGCGUUGUCCGGAAUUACUGGGUGUAAAGGGAGCGUAGGCGGGAAUGUAAGUUGAAUGUGAAAUUUAUGGGCUCAACCCAUAAACUGCGUUCAAAACUACAUUUCUUGAGUUAAGUAGAGGCAGGCGGAAUUCCCUGUGUAGCGGUGAAAUGCGCAGAUAUAGGGAGGAACACCAGUGGCGAAGGCGGCCUGCUGGGCUUGUACUGACGCUGAGGCUCGAAAGCGUGGGGAGCAAACA